rnacentral:tRNA from 1 species
GCGCCCAUCGUCUAGCGGUCUAGGACGCCGCCCUUUCACGGCGNNCGGAAACACGGGUUCGAUUCCCGUUGGGCGUACCA